GCAGCAGCAGCAAUCGGGUGCCUGGAGCCAUGCUGACCGUGUCAUGAGGCAGCAGUAUUUAGAGGAGAGAGAGACGAUGAGAGAGUGAGACGUCACCACAACAGGAGGGUAACCUGUGAAGGGCACGUCUGCCUGCAACAUGGUCCAGGUCUGGAUCUCCAUGUUCCUUAAGCUGAUGGUAAUUGAAGGUUUGACCAAGAAGACCCUGGUUUCCAUAGAAAUCUUGAGAAGGAUAAUUCUGCUCACCUUCCAUCCACAGAGCCGUGGAUCUCUGCUUUGUGCUCCCUGUAAAAGUGAUUGAUGUCUCCACUGAUAACCUUAAAACCAGAGGGAAAGAAACAGUAUCUCAACUGAGUUGCAGCUCCAAGUGAGGACUGGUCCAUUUUUCAACGUGACCCCAGCAGGACGCGGCGCACCGCACCAUGACCUCUGUCUCCUGAUGGCGGUUGGUGAUAACUGGAUCUGUGGGGACGGAAGAAUCACAGCAAGAACCCAAACAACAGAGACAUGAGUCGGCAUACAGAGCACAUCAUCAAGUCGGCACACGGCACCGCUGGGAUCAUGGAUUACUGUGCUGGUGAAUGAGGAGUCGGGGGCAGCAGAGAGCAGCAGAGCAGACCGGUGACACCUCCGUCAGAGGACAUGCACUGGUGGGCAGUAAAAGUGGGCCGGCCCGGCCUUUUGGCCGUGCUGAUGUUCCUCUCGGUGAUUCCUGGCGGAGUGAUGCUGGGCUGCAGUCAUGAAGGUCUGGAAGCCCCUCACUUCGCCCGGGGGUGCACUCAUCUGCACCGGCGCCUGAAGAGAGGCUGGAUCUGGAAGCAGCUGUUUGUCCCCGAGGAAGAUCCCACUCCCCGUGUGAUUGGCCAGAUCAGAUCUGAUUCUGACCGAGGUGAGUCUUCUAUCAAGUACAUAUUAUCAGGUGAAGGCGCUGGUGAGGUGUUUCAGAUCGACGAGCAUUCCGGAGAGAUCCGGACCCUGAAGAGUCUGGAUCGGGAGGAGAAGGCCUUUUAUGUCCUUCAGGCCCAGGCCAUUAACAGGUGGACCAAUGAACCGGAGGAGCCUCAGUCUGAGUUCAUCAUCAAGGUGCAGGACAUCAACGACAACCCGCCGCAGUUCCAGAAUGAACCGUAUGUGUCCAGCAUCCCGGAGAUGUCUCCGAUCGGAACCACUGUAGCUCGGGUGACGGCCACUGAUGCAGACGAUCCCAUGUUUGGGAACAACGCCAAGCUUAUCUACUCCCUCCUGCAGGGGGAGCCGUACUUCUCUGUAGAGCCAAAAACAGGUAUCAUUGAAACGUCGAUGCCCAAUAUGGACCGUGAAGCCCGGGAGCAGUACCUGGUGGUGGUGCAGGUGAAGGACAUGCUGGGUCUCAGUGGAGGUUACUCCGCGUCCACCACGGUCACGGUCAGCCUCACCGACGUCAACGACAACGGACCCACGUUUCAGCACCAUUUGUACACCUUCAUCGUUCCUGAAAACGCAGCCGUGGGCACCACAGUGGGACGGAUUAUGGCAGAAGAUGCUGACGUUGGCGUCAAUGCCAAAAUGACCUACACCCUGAACGAGGAUCUGGAGGGCAGCUCCACCUUCACCAUUACGACAGACCCAGUGACUCAGGAGGGCGUGGUCGUGCUCGCCCAGCCUUUGGACUAUGAAACAAAGAGACGCUAUGUCAUGGCUGCGGAGGCCGUCAACGAUCACAUUGACACCCGUUUCCUGAGUCUGGACGAUUUCACGGACAGGACGACACUCAAGAUCAUUGUGCAGGAUGUGGACGAGCCGCCCGUCUUCCUGUCACCGUUUUACGAAUGGAAAGUUCCAGAGAACGCGGCAGUGGGUACCGUGCUCGGCAGCGUCAGCGCCCGAGACACCGACGGGGUCAGCAAUACAAUCAGAUAUGCAUUCGACAAAAGGAGCGAUAACACGAAAGCUUUCAGAAUAGACCCGAACAACGGAACCAUCACUGUUGUCAGAACUCUGGACCGAGAGACGGCAGACUGGCACAAUGUGACGGUGGAAGCCAAGGAAACAUCCCAGAACCGUCUCUCCUCCUCUGUGCUGGCGUUCAUCAAAGUCCUAGACAUAAACGACAACGUGCCAGGACUUGCCAGAGAUUAUCAGCCGUAUAUCUGCGAGGGAACGCAGGCAGGAGAAGUUAUUCAGCUGCUCAGUGCCAUUGACGCCGACGACCCUGUGGAAGGACAUCACUUCUACUUCUCCAUGGUCCCCGACAGGAACAUCAAUCCAAACUUCACCAUCAGAGAUAAUCAAGACAAUACAGCGGAAACCCUGGCUCGCAGGAGCACUUUUCCCCGUAAAGCCAGAAGCCAGUACCUGCUGCCGGUGGUGGUGACAGACAGCGGGACUCCAGCUCUGUCCAGCACCAGCACGCUGACCAUCACCGUCUGCACCUGCCAGCCACAAGGUCACUGUCCCACGGGGGGGGUGGAGGCCCUGGCUCUGUCCAUGGGGGUCAGUAUGCAGACGCUGUUAGGACUCCUGGUCUGCCUGCUCACCCUCACAGUGCUGUCAGUUCUACUGCUGAUUGUGUGGAGACACCGGCGGAAGCAGCAGGCGGAGCAGGAUGUGAAGGUGACGGAGCUGGAGCUGCCUGAGAUGGUGUCUCAGAAGGUGCUGUAUUACCGAGACGCUGCGGGUGACGGAGCAGAGCUGGGUUACCACCAGAGUUCAGAUGUUCCUCUGCGUCGCCACCCAAACCGGCGCAGGGACAGGAGGCUGCGGAGGGAGGAGGUCAGGGCCAGCAUCCGAAUGUCUCUGAACAUCAGGGACUCGCACCUGAUCGGACCGGAGGACGAGGUCUUCAGGCAGUUCAUUAUAGACAGGCUGGCGGAGGCCGACCAGGACCCUCACGUCCCUCCGUACGACUGCCUGAGGAUCUACGCGUACGAGGGCUCAGGGACUCCCACAGGGUCCCUGAGUUCUCUGGAAUCCUGGAUGUCGGAGGCUGCAGCUGAACCACCUGCCUCAAAUCCCAGGCCCUGUUUAGUGAGACUGACACCGUGGUACGGGACAGGAGUGGAGGACACUACCUUCUGAGAUGAUGCUCUCCACGACCUUCCAGAAAAGUUGACACGCUGCGCUUUCUUCAAUUCCUUGGACUUUUUCAACAGAGAUGAAAACAUCUUUAAGACAAAAGGUUUGUCAGAACGUAUGACUUCCUGCCGACCUUUCAAAAUUCACAUCACGGUGGCUUCUUCCAGUUCUUAUACAUCGUCUAUGAUUUGACAACGUUUACGCCAUGAAUUUUAAACUGAUCAUUAACAUAUAUAUUUGGAACGUACAUUUCCCUAAACGGGAGUGUUGUUUCCUGAUGUGUGAGAAAUGAAAGUUGACACAGAAGAGAAGACAUCCAUUAAAUAUCAAGUGUUUAACAUGUAUAAUGCUGUAUAAUGUGGUCCCUCUGCUUUUCUGUUGAGUCACCAGAGAGUCCAUCACACAAUCUGCGUGAGCCAAUCAGCAGCUGAGAGGGAGAGUGCGUCAGAAAAAGAAAAAAAAAAAAGUCUGGUAAAGUUAUAGAUUCAGCCUCUCAUGUCCGACCUCGCUGCCAAACUCAUCGCGCGCCGCCACAAUGGUCACUCCAGGGUCUUUUGGCAGACAGUGCAGCUUAUUAUUGAAUAGAUGCCUGAAAGGAUUCUGUGAGUCGUUUUAAAAAAAGAAUGUCUGGCAAUUGUGUGUGCCUUUAAGCUGAGGGCGGGGAGAUAAAAUCAUUUAUGUGCCUUUUUUGUGCUGUAGACAUCAUUAUAUGGGGGAUCAUAUUCCAGUGGAAUGGAAAUAGAAUGUAAUAGCAGCUGUCAUCGUCCAACAAGAGUCGGCCAUGUGCGCUUGAACGCUCGCUGCUCUAACAUUACAUCUAUAGACAUAAUGUGCAGAAUACACAGUUAAAGACCGUACCCUGUGAUCGUGGAUGUGGGGUUUUUUCUAUAUGAAUGAAUGGAGGAAGUGACAUAAUGAUGAAUGCACAAAGAGACAGCCCAGCAUGGUAAAUACUUCUGUUUUAAAGUAUUUUCUCCUGAUGAUGUAUACGCUGCUGUCGCAACGACACGGGGCUACAGAAAAGGAAAUAGCGGAGCUCGUCACAUCAGAAAGAGGGAGAUUAAGAUCUGGCAGAAUGUAUCAAGCUCAGGAAGCACAUUUGGCUGUGAGUGGUGGCGCUGCACACUUUGAUGGACGUCUCUUGUUGCAUCAAAUGUGUCAUUUUCCGUGCUCAUCAAGCGCCUUGAUUUGUUUUUUUUUUGAUAGGUAACAGUUGGAGGACUCAGAAGUGAGUGCCUGUUAAUCUCAAGUCGUGCUUAAGGUUUAUUUUUAGUGAAGCUAAGGAUGGAAAUAAAAAAGACGUGACAGAA